rnacentral:rRNA from 1 species
UACAGAGGAUGCAAGCGUUAUCCGGAAUGAUUGGGCGUAAAGCGUCUGUAGGUGGCUUUUUAAGUCCGCCGUCAAAUCCCAGGGCUCAACUCUGGACAGGCGGUGGAAACUACCAAGCUGGAGUACGGUAGGGGCAGAGGGAAUUUCCGGUGGAGCGGUGAAAUGCGUAGAGAUCGGAAGGAACGCCCGUGGCGAAAGCGAGCCCCUGGACGUCUACUGACGCUGAGACGCGAAAGCCAGGGGAGCGAACGGG